GGUGUCAUUGGAAGUGGCCUUUGGGGUUUCCAAAGCUCAAGCCAGUCCUGGCGUCUCUGUCCGCUUGCUGCCCAAGGAUCCAGAUCCCCAGGCUGCUUCUCUAACACCACGUCUGCCCGUGUGCCGCCACGCUUCUCUAGCACCACGUCUGCCCGUGUGCCGCCACACUUCUCACCAAGGAUGGGAAGCAUCUGUGCGAGGGACUCCAGCGCCCACUGGUUCACUUUCUUGUUGGAAUCGUGAAGCCUUGGGGUGAAAACAUCAAAGACCUAUUGACGGAACAAAAAAAAAACAAGAGUUUGUGGGCUUGGCAGGCGUCAGCUGAAACUACCCCUGCAUCCCUGGAAUGGAUCCCCAGACCUGUUGCUAGCACACUCCCAGUGAUGAAGAAGAGCUCAUCUCCUCAAAAGGGGAACAGGCAUAAAGAGGAGGCACGGACUGUAUUCACGUGUCAAUCAUCCAGAACACUGGGGUAGGUCCUCUUCACUAUCGUGAACAUGACCUUAGCAGCCCAUGUUGCUGGUGCCGUUAUCAUUCUCCGGUUUCCCAGUAACAAGGAGGGCUCAUGGAGGAGACUGAGUCUCCUCAGAUCGCACAGCUAGUGGGGGGCUUGGGUUGCCACCUGCCCGUCAGCGUCACUCCAAGGAAAAGCAGUAAACCUUCCUGGUGU
ensembl:antisense Gm15641 predicted gene 15641